rnacentral:lncRNA from 1 species
CUCUAUUUUAGUGACCGCUGACUGCGGAGCAACGCUCUUGUGUUCUGCGGGCCCAGCAGCUCCGGGAACGGUCAGCGUCGGGGGCCAGCCUGGCGGGACAUUUGGGGUCCCCCAUACGUGGACCUAUGCCUGUUGUAAGAUGUUUGGAAGAGCGUCGAAAGAUGAGAUCAUGUUGUGUCCUUGGAAGCUGAAUGAAGAACCGGCUUGCAAAGGAGAAGCGCGUGCAGUCCCGGCGCGGCCCGCUCUGCUCAGUUCUCCAGGGCGGGCCUUGGCCUGGACUGCGUGUCGGGAGGACUCGCGGGCCCCGCAUUGCCGCAUGCCACCGGCAGGUGUCUCUUUCCUGGCUUGGGAACCUAUUAACUGUCCGGUCAUUCAUGAGGAUGAGUGUCCCCAGAUGUGCCUGUCUCAGGGCACCCUCUCCUGGGCACACCUGAUUGGAUCAAGCUGUGCACCUGACCCAGGCUGGGACAACCAAAUUCCCUCUCCCAGGAAUCUGGUAUUGGACUGAGGACAGCCACUCACCUUUGGCUAAUCUCUUUAGGAGAGAAGAUGUAGAUGUGAUAGUUGUUGAGGGAUUAUCCUCUGCCCAGCUACUCACAGAGAAGAAAGUGGAUUGCAGAGGGAGACACGAAGCAGAGAAGAAAGCUGGAGAAGGUGGACUGUCUAGGUUCCUAGCAGCUUCUCGGGCUACCUUGAGGCCAUCUGCCCUUGGACUUCAUGAGAUACUGCUAUACUCUUCUAUGUCCCUUAAUGCUUACGUCAGCUCAAGUUGAUUACUUCCAACCAAAAGGACUUAACUCAGACAAGGACAAAGCCAAGACCAUCAGUGAGGUUUUUUUCUUUAUAACCAGGUCCCUUACAGCAUCCUGGGGAGCACUGUAGGUCCUAAAUACACAUUAUUCACAUUAUUCACUCUCCAAAGGCUUCCAUUAGGCAAAAACAUCUUCUCAUCCAAGGCCAACUAGAUUAGGAAAUGGCAUUUCUUAUGGCUUUCCAUCCCCAGAGGGCAAAUGCACAGAUGACUGCAGUUAGCAAUUGACUCUGUGGGUUAGUAUUUGCUGAGGGCACACACCCUGAGACUUGAAUGACAGAAAUCCCCAGGUGCCAAGGAGGAGACUGGCAAUUAUGCCUCCAAUCACCUCCCUGUUCUGCCGCCCUCUAAAUCAGCACUCCCCACCGCGGUGACCCUCAAUGACUGGCAAGACGACCCAUUUUUAAAGGGCCAAUUUUUAACAGCUGGAAACAAUAAACGUCGUGGGAGGUGAA